UCUUCUGGCAGCGAGCCGCGUGCGAAGACGCGCGAGCGGCGGCCUGUUGACGCUGCGAGUGUAGCCGCAGCGACUGGGCGGAUAGGCACCGCCCGCCCUGGACCCGUGCCAGGGUCCCGCAGAGCCCGAGCACGCAACUCGCCGACUCGGUGGCGGGCCCUCCGACGGCACGGCAGUCGUGAGCGUCAGAGCGCCGCGGUGUACGCGGCAUCGAUUGGCCUCGUCGGCAGCGCUCUCUCGGGGCGGCCGGCGUUUUCUCGGUCGUAUCGAUCGGGCCUUUGCAUGCGCGCGCGUGUCGUGCCCCUUGCCAUCCAUUCCCGCCAGCGGGCUAGCUGGUCUCGGGAAUUCGGCGCCAGAGGUGCCAGUGAGUCCUGCGUGCGGCAGAGGACCUAAGCACGUACGCGCCCACUGCCACGUACUGGCAGCCUGCCUGCCGGUACGGGCCUUUUCUUUGAGUCGCACGUGCACGUCUUGGCGCGUGUCAGUUCACGCGUGGCUCUCGGUGAGUGGCAGCGAGACGUGCACCUGAGAGGCGUUCUUGGCUAGCACCGCUCAGGUUCUGCUCCGGAUGGUGGUGCCGGCGCCGCUCAGCUGACGGCAUGGCAGCGGCGGCAAAGAAGGCCUGCGACGGCAAUGGGACGGGCGGCCGGCUGUCCCGGCCGCUGCUCAAGCGCACCGACACCGAGCUCAGCAUCGACCAGAGCGGCCUGCAGCGACUGCUUCCCCGCCGCCUACGGUUCCUGUUUGCGGACGCGCAGGCUGAGAGCCUCUACCUGGACUACUACCGCCACCAGAAGUGGCUCGACUUCAAGGCGUGGAUGGCCACCGCGUUCCUCUGCUGUAUAGUCCUCGCCGUGGUGGCCGUGGGCCAGUGGUACGUGAGCAUCGACGGUGCUGCGGCCGGCCCACCCUGGUGGUUCUCCCCGUUGCUGGUUGGCCUCCAGUCCCUGUCCUUGAUUAUACUGCUGGCGCUGUUCGUGUGGCCGCGUUCUUCGUAUGCCGGCGCAUGGGCUGCUCUGCCCGCGGUGCUAGUGCAGCUGCUGCAAGUCGUCUGCGCCGCAUUCAUUGAAUCCGACUCCACGCUGUGGGAGGACGCCCUGCCGUGGAUGGUGGUGUACUCGUUCGCGGCGCACGUGCUGCUCCCGUGGCGCGUGGUGUCGGCGCUGGCCGCCUCGGGCACCCUGGUGGCCGCCCAGGUGGCGCUGUGCAGGGGGCGUCCCCCGGCGGCGGCGCUGCUCCUGCUGGCGUGCGCCAACCUGCUUGGGCUGAUGGCCUUCCUCUGGGUGGAGCGCAUGCAGCGCAGGGCUUUCCUCGAAACGAGGCAGUCACUCGAGGCCAAGCUGGUCGUCGAGGAAGAGUCACAAGAGCAAGAGCGCCUGCUGCUGUCCGUGCUCCCGAAGCACGUGGCGGCCGAGCUGAAGCAGGACCUGGACGCCGUGGUGCAGGGACCCUUCAAGAAGAUCUACAUGAGCCGCCACGAAAACGUGAGCAUCCUGUUCGCCGACAUCGUGGGAUUCACCGCUUUCUCGUCCACCUGUCCGGCGGCGCAGCUGGUGCGGACGCUCAACGAGCUCUUCGCGCGCUUCGACAAGCUGUCCGACAAGUUCCACCAGCUGCGCAUCAAGAUCCUGGGCGACUGCUACUACUGCGUGAGCGGGGCGCCCGAGGAACGGCCGGACCACGCGGUGCUGUGCGUCCACAUGGGGCUCAGCAUGGUGGAGGCGAUCCGGUCGGUGCGCGACCAGACCCGCAGCGGCGUCGACAUGCGCGUCGGCAUACACACCGGGGCCGUGCUCGCGGGAGUGCUGGGCCAGAGGCAGUGGCAGUACGACGUCUACAGCAAGGACGUCGUGCUGGCCAACAAGAUGGAGAGCGGCGGAAUGCCCGGGCGCGUGCACAUCUCGGAGCGCACGCUGAGCUUCCUGAACGGAGAGUUUGCCGUGGCACCGGGAGACGGAGGCUCCCGAGAGGAGGCGCUGCGGCUCGCAGGGCUGCAGACCUACUUCAUCACCGAGGUCCUCAAGCCGUACCCGGAGGGCACACUGGACUACGGCAAGCAGCUGGAGGACGGACAGGUGCCCAACGCGGGCGGCGCAGGCACCGAGACAUCAACAAGUGACGAAAGGGAGUACCGGCGUCGCUUGCACAGGGAACUGCUCGAGAGGGACACCGAAAAGGAGCUUCGUGACCACGCCCACCCGGUGAGCCUGUCCUUCCGCGACUCGGAGCUGGAGCGCCAGUUCGCCGGCACCAGCGACAGCUGCAGCUGCGUCUCGCUCGCCGCCUGGCCCCUGGUGGCGCUGGCGUCGGCCGCCGCUUACCCGCUGGCGUCGUCGGGACCCGCGUGCGGUGCCUACCUCGCUGGGCUGGUGGCGCUGUGCGCGUUACUCGCACUGUGUGUGCUGCCCUUCUUCGCAAAGGCACCACCUCGUCCCAUGACCGUGGUGUCAACAGCGGUGCAGAGCAGGUCAUGGGUUCGACUGCUGGUUUCUUUUAUGGCAGUCGCGCUCUGGGCGUCACUCCACUUGGCUACCACGCUUCUGGGCGCGAGCAGCGGACGCGUCCAGCCGGCCACCGACGGGGGGGAGGAGCGCCUCCCGCCGUUGAACACCGCUCGCCACUCCGUCAGCGUGGCGGCGCUGGCGCUGGUCGCCGUGGCGGUGCUGGUGCGGCUCAGCUACCUGACCAAGCUGGCCUUCGUGGCGCUCCUGUGCGCACUACAGUGCGCACUCUGCCUGCUGCCCCCGCUCAGCGAACAGUUCAGGGUGACGCCGCCAACGCCGUCAUUCGGAGGCCAAGUCGUCGGGCUGGUCGCCGAGACAACGGAAGUCCUGACCACUGCCCUGCCUCUCGACCAGCCGAAGCAGCGCCUGCUAAGCCAUGCCGCCGUGCAGCUCAUCUACCUGGUUGCCAUAGGCUUGGCGCUGGCGGUCAUCUCGAGACAGUUCGAGCUGACUUCGCGGCGGCUGUUCUUGUGGCGGAAGGACGUGGAGGAGCAGAAGGAGAAGGUGGCCGACAUGCGGCGCAAGAACGAGGCGCUCGUCUACAACGUGCUGCCGCCCCACGUGGCCAAGGUGUUCCUCGGCCGUCGGAGGCUCGACGAGGAGCUGUAUAGCAAGAGCCACGACUCCGUGGGCGUUCUGUUCGCGGCCAUGCCCAAUUUCUCUGAUUUCUACACCGAGGAGUCGGUCAACAACCAAGGACUCGAGUGCCUUCGCUUCCUCAACGAGGUCAUCUCCGACUUCGACGCUCUCCUAGAGCAAAAUCGAUUCCGGGAUAUCCUCAAGAUCAAGACCAUCGGCUCGAGCUACAUGGCGGCCAGUGGACUCAGCAAGGAGGACGAACCCAAGGCUGGUGCCAGCGUACAAGAGAGGUGGGGCCAUCUGGCGCAGCUGACAGAUUUUGCGCUCGCUCUCAAGGACACGCUCAACAACAUCAACCGCGAGAGCUUCAACAACUUUGUCCUCAAGAUGGGCAUCAACCACGGACCCAUCACUUCCGGUGUGAUCGGUGCCCGAAAGCCACACUUCGACAUUUGGGGAAACACGGUCAAUGUUGCCAGCCGCAUGGAGAGUACCGGAAAGGCCGGAAACAUCCAGGUGGUGAAGGAAACGGCCGACAUUCUGGAGACCUUCGGCUUCGCUCUCGAGCAGCGCGGCCUGGUGUCCGUCAAGGGCAAAGGCAUGCUCAUGACCUUCUACCUGCUGGGGAAGAAGCCCCCCGCCACGCAGCCCAGCGCCGCGGCGGCCGCCACACGCGUGCACACCAACCCGCUCGCCCAGCAAGACGACGACGCGGCCGUCGUCACGGGUACAGCGGAGCCCGCUGGGUCGCCGCAGGACGCUAGGGCAACGACGCCAUCCGUGGACGUCGCCGUGACUACAGCUAACGGCACGGAGGCAGUGAGCGUGGCUGCAGCGGACACCCUGCCUCAGCAGCUACCCAAUGGCGCAGGACCCACAGCUGUGGCGGCGGCGAGCCCGAGCUGAGAGACGCUGUUCACGAGCCACCAAGCCCACAGGCAUGUGAUCUGAGAGUUCAGCGAUAGCCUCUGUCUUAAGUUAUCCCUCUAAAGCCUUACACAAAGGGGCCGUGAUCCACAUCAUGACCAUGGUGCUACCACCCCCAGCCUCACGGCCAGCUUCGUCUGCGCGUCCCACCCUGCGGCAAUAUGCCUGCUAGGCCUGGCCCGGGCCUUCCAAGAUGGUGGAGGCGGCAGCAGCCAAACCUUCGAGGCAUGCCUACCCGGUGCCGCCACCUAGCCACCCUAUCCCUCUUGGAGGGGCGCUUCCGGAGGGACACCGCACAUCGCCGACCCGCUUUACUGAGGCCGUUCCUCUAAAUAGUGGACGCGCGUGUCGGGCUUCCUUCGGGACGCUCGGUUGGAUGCAAAGAGAACGCUACGACCUCCUCUCGCCUGUCCUAGCUACUCAAGAUGGCAACCACCGGCAGCGGCGAAUAAGUGCACAGUGUCCGCCUUCCGAAACCUGCCCAACCCUAUAGCAUGUCGUCGCAACCGACCGACCGCAAGCGCGAUGUGAACGUAAACGCUCGUUCCUAAUCUUACCGUGGUUUAUUAACAUAGAGGGAAGGUGUCUUUUUUGUUAUUCUUGUUGUUCAGAAAACACCAUCGAGUGAAAGGUGGACAAGUGUUCUUUGGAACAGGUUGGCAGUUACUCAAUGCUGAGUUCAAGAGAGAGGUCUGACCUUUACGUGUUCUUGUAGUGUGCCGUGAGUGCUUUGGCUGUUCUUAUUUAAAGUUGUGCGUGUUUCUGUUUUCGCCAGGUCUCUACGAGGUUGUUGAAGUUGAUUGUUGCAAUUGCUUUGUUCCUGUACAUUGUUAUCUUCUUGACGUUACAUGUUCUCUACCCUUUCUUGCGAGGAUGGUUUAUGUUGACGUUGCCGGCCUCAGUCGUUAAUGAGAGAAAACUAAUGUGUUCAGUUUUCAGCCCGUAAACUAUAUCAUCUCUGAAUAGACGCACAUUGGUGUAAGCACUUAACUGCUAUUGGCUUGCGUACAGCCACUUCAGAGCGUCACUGCCUGACAGUGCCCCAGUUUAAGUACACCUCAUGCUUCGCAUUCACACCACUCGCGCACGCAUCGAAGCUGAAUCUUGCCGCUGUCGUAAUGAGAAGCGGCAUAUUUAUUUGGAGGUAAGUUUGCGUCUUUAGUAAAACCGGCAAUGACGCCAAAUUCGGUUACAGUGGAAGAUGACGAGCUUUCCGCCAAGGGCGCCAUUGGUCACUGCCUUGAACGGAGCCUGAAUGGCUCCGUUGUUCUUCUCCUCUGUUGACUGUUCUCAAUGGACCGUUCCAAUUACAAAAUUGCGCACCGUCAAAGAAACAAUAUCGUCGCUUAAAGUUCAAGUAUAGAACGGUCACGGGCUGCCCUGGAUGUUAGACAAGCACACGUCCCAUGGAUGUAUAAGACACUGAUACGUAGGUUCGGCGUUCAGGUAACCGGACGACACAGUGUGUGUUCUUAUAGCCAGGGAAGGGGAAAAAAAGUUAUCACCAUUUUUGUUGGCUGUGCACACUUCCCACAGUUACUAAAAAGGUUAAUUUCUAUGGAAUGGGAGGCCCUAGAAUCCUUAUAUUUCGCAGACACAGGGGCCGUUUGAUCAAUGGGGACACUGUCAUGGCGACGCUAUUCAAAAGUGCCGUUUGUUUCACGUUUAACAGCAUCCCUCACUUAAUGUCCAGAAAGAUAAUUUCAUUAGAAGGAAUGCAUUCGCGAGCACUCAUAAAAAAACUAUGCCAGGCUUUGCCUGACUGACUUCGCAUGGACGUGCCUUGCGAUGAAAUUAGUGGAUGCCUCGCAUGUACGGUUUCAUACCUAAAAUUGAAUAAAGCGCAAACGUCAGCCAGUCUAAGAAAAAGGAAAAAUAUUAUUCAAUGAUCGAAGCGAGAGAUGAUUACGGCAUUGUUUGCAGAGGCAAUUUAAAUGGUCCGCAUCAUUUUCACAUAAAUCAUCCCACAGCCCACAAAAUGUUAUGUAGUGUAAACAGCGAUCUCUCGCUCCCUUCGCUUUUGCAUUUCAACCGCAAAAGCCGAUUGUGUCGCUGUGGCUGGCAGUCCGAACGUUGUCCACUACGUGAAACAUGGGCAUUUUUUGUUCAGAAUAUUUCACUCAUCAAAUCCUCAAGCCCCAUUUCAUACACGAUGAAUGAGUCACCAACUCCAUGCCCUCCCAAUAAGUGACAACGUGCAAUCGUGAUCCUUCGAAGUUCGGUAACCCAAAGAAACGUUUAUUAUUUCACCCCAUCUUUAUAUAUGGUAUUUUUUGCAAGUUUGAAGCGCGCGUUAAUUUGUAUGCGUAGAUGGAUCACUCAGCUUUUCUUUUUUCUGAACUAUGAAUUGAGACAUUGGACGAGAAGUCCGAGGUGACACUUAACCGUUCUCUGAGCAUCGUGGAGUCAGCGUGUUUGAAAAAAAUGCGAAAGCAGACCGUGUGCCACGUGCAUCGUGUGCAUAUUUCACCUUUGACCCGAGUCAUGAGCCGCACCACACAGACAACGGCGCCAUACUUCGCUUUGCCUUGGAACAAGACAGACUGUGACGCAAACUGCAAGUUCUACGAUGUGGUGCAUAUUUUACGAAAUGCGCGAUCAGCGUAGUCGCAUGAUGCUAACAAUCGAGGUUCUUGGCUUUUUGGUUGAUGUUCUUGGUUCAGAAUCUUAGGAGCAGAAAAUGGGCCCUGUUCCUGCAGCAGUGUUAAGCAUUAAGAGGAAACCUGCACGUGGUUGACGUCGUUUGUGUCAACGCUAAGUCCUGACUUUACAAAACUCCGGACAUAGCAACCUAUGUCACGAGUUUUCUAAAGUCUUGAAAUACCCAUUCGAGUGCUGAGCGCGAUAAAGUCGCAGACUUCCUUGCCGCGUUAUGGGGCCCUCAUAGGGGUCUAACUGCAACAAACCUUUUGCAUCUUUAGAGACCCAUACAGUCGACAAAACUUCUCAGUGCAGUGUCUACCCCCCGAUUCACUGGUUACAUUCAAAUAUAUGGACGUUGAAUAUACA